GAAGGGGGCAAAAGCAUGAAGGACUGCUAAUCCUCCACCCUGUGGUUAAACUCCACAGCCCCU
rnacentral:tRNA from 1 species